rnacentral:rRNA from 1 species
UACGGAGGGUGCAAGCGUUAGCCGGAUUUACUGGGUUUAAAGGGUGCGUAGGUGGGUCUGUAAGUCAGUGGUGAAAUCUCCGAGCUUAACUCGGAAACUGCCAUUGAUACUAUAGGUCUUGAAUUAUCUGGAGGUGAGCGGAAUAUGUCAUGUAGCGGUGAAAUGCUUAGAUAUGACAUAGAACACCAAUUGCGAAGGCAGCUCACUACGGAUAUAUUGACACUGAGGCACGAAAGCGUGGGGAUCAAACAGG